rnacentral:lncRNA from 1 species
AAGUUAGAUGCAAAUCCAUGGGUGCUAGAGAUAAUACUGAUGCAACAAAGAAGGGUGGAAUUCUUAGGAGUUCAAGCUGCAUCCCUGCCAUUACUAGAGAUAUGGAUGAUCUUUCAAUGGAAAAUUAGUAGUUAUUUUUACAUUCUUAUGUAUUUUAUCAAUUAUUAAUCUACCAAUUGUAAACUUCAUAAAGUUGGCUUG